rnacentral:rRNA from 1 species
AUUGAACGCUGGCGGCAGGCUUAACACAUGCAAGUCGAGCGAGCGGCGGACGGGUGAGUAAUGUCUGGGAAACUGCCUGAUGGAGGGGGAUAACUACUGGAAACUGUAGCUAAUACCGCAUACCAUCAGAUGUGCCCAUAUGGGAUUAGCUAGUAGGUGGGGUAAUGGCUCACCUAGGCGACGAUCCAUAGCUGGUCUGAGAGGAUGACCAGCCACACUGGAACUGAUACAGUGACCAGACUCCUACGGGGGGCAGCAGGGGGGAAUAGUGCACAAUGGGCGCAAGCCUUAUGCAGCCAUGCCGUGUGUAUGAAGAAGGCCUUCGGGGUGUAAAGUACUUUCAGCGGGGAGGCGUUACCCGCAGAAGAAGCACCGGCUAACUCCGUGCCAGCAGCCGCGGUAAUAC